rnacentral:rRNA from 1 species
UVAGCGUCAGCGGCGUUCGGCGUCGUCGUCGUGCACUUCUCCCCUAGUAGAACGUCGCGACCCGUUGGGUGCCGGUCGCCCUCGUUAACUCGGCCGGCUGCCCGGCGGUCGAACAUAAGGUAUCUUGCCGCAAUUUAAAUGCGUCGGGCCCGUCGCAAGCGAGGCCAGGGACCAGGUGCCGUACCCGCGGCUGGCCGGCUGUUGGCAGACGGAGUCCUUCGACGGGCAAUACACAACGAUACCGGUCUGCGACGCUACUGCUUUGGGUACUCUCAGGACCCGUCUUGAAACACGGACCAAGGAGUCUAACAUGUGCGCGAGUCAUUGGGACUGGAAGCCUAAAGGCGCAAUGAAAGUGAAGGUCGUCGACCGAGGGAGGAUGGGUCGCGUUUGCGCGCGGCUCCGCACUCCCGGGGCGUCUCGUUCUCAUUGCGAGAAGAGGCGCACCCAGAGCGUACACGUUGGGACCCGAAAGAUGGUGAACUAUGCCUGGUCAGGACGAAGUCAGGGGAAACCCUGAUGGAGGUCCGUAGCGAUUCUGACGUGCAAAUCGAUCGUCGGAACUGGGUAUAGGGGCGAAAGACUAAUCGAACCAUCUAGUAGCUGGUUCCCUCCGAAGUUUCCCUCAGGAUAGCUGGCACUCGUUCGUUUCUAAUAAAGGAGUCUCAUCUGGUAAAGCGAAUGAUUAGAGGCCUUGGGGCCGAAACGACCUCAACCUAUUCUCAAACUUUAAAUGGGUGAGAUCUCUGGCUUGCUUGAAAUAUGAAGCCACGAGAUCGGAUCAGAGUGCCAAGUGGGCCAAUUUUGGUAA